GAUGAAGAACGCAGCGAAAUGCGAUAAGUAGUGUGAAUUGCAGAAUUCAGUGAAUCAUCGAAUCUUUGAACGCACAUUGCGCCCCUUGGUAUUCCAUGGGGCAUGCCUGUUCGAGCGUCAUUUGUACCUUCAAGCUUUGCUUGGUGUUGGGUGUUUGUCCAUUCUCUUGCAGAGGGACUCGCCUUAAAGUAAUUGGCAGCCAGUGUUUUGGUUUUGAAGCGCAGCACAAGUCGCGAUUCAACGCUAUACGCCAGCUUCCACAAGCCUUUUUCACUUUUGACCUCGGAUCAGGUAGGGAUACCCGCUGAACUUAAGCAUAUCAAUAACGGAGGA
rnacentral:misc_RNA from 1 species